CUGAGCAACGACAGCGUGGACAUUUCACAUUCAGUCGAAGCCACUCGUCAAUGCAUUCUACAUGGAAAUUAUGAGCACAAGGCAGGCCGCGGACCUGCACCAUUACCAGCAAAAAACUUCUGUUGAACUACAUCUUCCAGGGUAGCCAGUCUUAAGAGACAAAGGAAAUGAAAUAGGUAGCAAAAGCAGAAGCAGAGAUAGAGGAUGGCCAGGGACUGUCCCCAUCCCUCAAGGACAAGUCUGGCAUAUAAACAAUCAACUAAACAUGUGUUUUUUUAUUAGUUAUUGGAGAGAUGAAUCAAUUACCUCAUUCCCUA